rnacentral:rRNA from 1 species
CGGGAAUUUUGCGCAAUGGACGAAAGUCUGACGCAGCAACGCCGCGUGAGGGAUGAAGGCCUUCGGGUUGUAAACCUCUUUCAGGAGGGACGAAGCCACUCGGGUUAAUAGCCUAGAGGGUGACGGUACCUCCUUAGCAAGCACCGGCUAACCAUGUGCCAGCAGCCGCGGUAAUACACGGGGUGCAAACGUUGCUCGGAAUUAUUGGGCGUAAAGCGCGCGUAGGCGGUUACUUAAGUCGGAUGUGAAAGCCCUCGGCUUAACUGAGGAAGUGCACCCGAAACUGAGUAGCUAGAGUACGAAAGAGGGUCGCGGAAUUCCCGGUGUAGAGGUGAAAUUCGUAGAUAUCGGGAGGAACACCGGUGGCGAAGGCGGCGACCUGGGUCGAGACUGACGCUGAGGCGCGAAAGCGUGGGGAGCAAAC